rnacentral:rRNA from 1 species
AGAAUCUUUCGCAAUGCCCGAAAGGGUGACGAAGCGACGCCGCGUGUGGGAAGAAGGCCUUCGGGUUGUAAACCACUGUCGGGAGUUACGAAAUGUAAGGAUGUUAAUAGCAUCCUUACUUGACUAAGGCUCCGGAGGAAGCCACGGCUAACUCUGUGCCAGCAGCCGCGGUAAUACAGAGGCGGCAAGCGUUGUUCGGAACUAUUGGGCGUAAAGAGCACGUAGGCGGCCCUGAAAGUCAGUUGUGAAAGCCUUCUGCUUAACGGAAGAACAGCAUCUGAUACUACAGGGCUUGAGUGCGGGAGGGGAGAGUGGAACUUCUGGUGGAGCGGUGAAAUGCGUAGAUAUCAGAAGGAACGCCGGCGGCGAAAGCGGCUCUCUGGCCCGUAACUGACGCUGAGUGUGCGAAAGCUAGGGGAUCAAACGGGAUUAGAUACCCCGGUAGUCCUAGCCGUAAACGAUGGGCACUAAGUAGAGGGGUUUUGAUUAUCUCUCUGCCGGAGCUAACGCAUUAAGUGCCCCGCCUGGGAAGUACGGCCGCAAGGCUAAAACUCAAAGGAAUUGACGGGGGCUCGCACAAGCGGUGGAGCAUGUGGCUUAAUUCGAUGCAACGCGAAGAACCUUACCGGGGUUUGACAUGGUAGAAGUAGGAACCAGAAAUGGUAACGAACGGUAUCCAGUCCGUAACUAUCACAGGUGUUGCAUGGCUG